rnacentral:rRNA from 1 species
CGAUGUCCGUACCGAGAUCCGACACAGGUGCUCUGCCAGCGCAAGGCAAGGCCUGUCGGGAGAACCGACGUUAGGGAAUUCGGCAAGUUAGUCCCGUACCUUCGGAAGAAGGGAUGCCUGCUCUCUGAGGAGCAGGUCGCAGUGACUCGGGCGCUCCGACUGUCUAGUAACAACACAGGUGACCGCAAAUCCGCAAGGACUCGUACGGUCACUGAAUCCUGCCCAGUGCGGGUAUCUGAACACCUCGUACAAGAGGACGAAGGACCCGUCAACGGCGGGGGUAACUAUGACCCUCUUAAGGUAGCGUAGUACCUUGCCGCUUCAGUAGCGGCUUGCAUGAAUGGAUAAACGAGAGCGCCACUGUCCCAACGUUGGACCCGGUGAACUGUACGUUCCAGUGCGGAGUCUGGAGACCCCCAAGGGGAAGCGAAGACCCUAUAGAGCUUUACUGCAGGCUGUCGCUGAGACGUGGUCGCCGAUGUGCAGCAUAGGUAGGAG